GCCGAAGUGGUGGAAUUGGCAGACACGCUAGCUUGAGGGGUUAGUGCCCGCAAGGGCUUGGGGGUUCGAGUCCCCCCUUCGGCA
rnacentral:tRNA from 1 species